GCUGGGCAUUGUGGUGGGUGCCUAUAGUCCCAGUUCGUUGGGAGGCUGAGGCAAGAGAAUUGCCUAAGCCCAGGAGUUGGAGGUUGCUGUGAUCUGUGGUGCCAUGGCACUCUACUGAGGGUGAUCAGGUGAGAUUCUGACUCUAAAAACAAAUAAACAAAGAAUUAUACAGUUCAGUGGGGUUUUUUUUUGUUGUUUGUUUUUUUAGAGACAGAGUCUCACUUUAUUGCCCUUGGUAGUGUGCCAUGGCAGCAUCAGACUACUCACAGCAAUCUCCAACUCCUGGGCUUAGGUGAUUCUCUUGCCUCAG
rnacentral:SRP_RNA from 1 species